AUUGAACGCUGGCGGCAUGCCUUACACAUGCAAGUCGAACGGCAGCACGGGAGCAAUCCUGGUGGCGAGUGGCGAACGGGUGAGUAAUAUAUCGGAACGUGCCCAGUCGCGGGGGAUAACGCCGCGAAACCUGUGCUAAUACCGCAUCCGAUCUAUGGAUGAACGCGGGGGAUCGCAACACCUGGCGCGAUUGGCGCGGCCGAUAUGAGAUUAGCUAGUUGGUGGGGGAAAGGCCCACCAAGGCGACGAUCUGUAGCUGGUCUGAGAGGACGACCAGCCACACUGGAACUGAGACACGGUCCAGACUCCUACGGGAGGCAGCAGUGGGGAAUUUUGGACAAUGGGCGCAAGCCUGAUCCAGCAAUGCCGCGUGCAGGAUGGAGGCCUUCGGGUUGUAAACUGCUUUUGUACGGAACGAAACGGUCCUUUCUAAUACAGAGGGCUAAUGACGGUACCGUAAGAAUAAGCACCGGCUAACUACGUGCCAGCAGCCGCAGUAA
rnacentral:rRNA from 1 species